rfam:Salmo salar isolate Sally breed double haploid chromosome ssa06, whole genome shotgun sequence.
UGGCUCAGUAGGUAGAGCAUGGUGUUUGCAACGCCAGGGUUGUGGGUUCGAUUCCCAC